rnacentral:lncRNA from 1 species
CAGUUCUAACUACAAUUGGAAGAUAGAAGUUAGGAAACUCUGAGUGACUUGAUUGAUGACACAUAAGUAGCCAAGAGAACCACAGAAUUUUUUUUUCAACUUUCUCCAGCUAGCACUAUUUAGACUUCACUCUGUUGAUUCAGAGAUGGUAGAAGAAUUGGCAUUGUCUCUUAUUCUUCUCUUUUUGUCAAGAUACAUCUGGAAAAGGUGGCCCAGUAAAAGUUAGGGAAGGGCAAUGUGAAAUGUGGUGAAGAUUCAACUUAUAAGGCAACAGGUUUUGUUCAUUCACAUCAAGCUCUGAAAAUCUCUCAUCUUAAAGGAUGGAGAAUUUGGUCAAUUUAGUGAUCCUAAAUGUGCAAAGAAGUGUAGUCAUUUUAUUGAAAUUGUGUGCAUAAAGAUAAAGCCAGCUUAAAAGAACAGCAAGGAGUUGAACAUUACUUCAAUUCAUCUGAAAUGAGUUGUUGAUCAACUAAAAAGAAGCUGUGAGGAAAGAAAUGCUAAAUAAAGCCAACUGUCCUGC